rnacentral:rRNA from 1 species
AUUGAACGCUGGCGGCAGGCCUAACACAUGCAAGUCGAGCGGAUGAAGGGAGCUUGCUCCUGGAUUCAGCGGCGGACGGGUGAGUAAUGCCUAGGAAUCUGCCUGGCAGUGGGGGAUAACGUCCGGAAACGGGCGCUAAUACCGCAUACGUCCUGAGGGAGAAAGUGGGGGAUCUUCGGACCUCACGCUAUCAGGUGAGCCUAGGUCGGAUUAGCUAGUUGGUGGGGUAAAGGCCUACCAAGGCGACGAUCCGUAACUGGUCUGAGAGGAUGAUCAGUCACACUGGAACUGAGACACGGUCCAGACUCCUACGGGAGGCAGCAGUGGGGAAUAUUGGACAAUGGGCGAAAGCCUGAUCCAGCCAUGCCGCGUGUGUGAAGAAGGUCUUCGGAUUGUAAAGCACUUUAAGUUGGGAGGAAGGGCAGUAAGUUAAUACCUUGCUGUUUUGACGGUACCAACAGAAUAAGCACCGGCUAACUUCGUG